GCCUGGCUGGCUGGGUCAGUGUAGCACUUGACUCUAGAUCUUGGGGUUGUGAGUUCGAGCCCCACGUCGGGUG
rnacentral:tRNA from 1 species